rnacentral:rRNA from 1 species
UGGGGAAUCUUGCUCAAUGCGCGAAAGCGUGACGCAGCAACGCCGCGUGGGGGAAGAAGGCCUUCGGGUUGUAAACCCCUUUCAGUUGGGACGAAGCUUCGGCGGUGAAUAGCCGCCUGGAGUGACGGUACCUUCACAAGAAGCCCCGGCUAACUACGUGCCAGCAGCCGCGGUAAUACGUAGGGGGCUAGCGUUGUCCGGAAUCAUUGGGCGUAAAGAGCGUGUAGGCGGCCCGGUAAGUCCGCUGUGAAAGUCGGGGGCUCAACCCUCGAAUGCCGGUAGAUACUGUCGGGCUAGAGUGCGGAAGAGGCGAGUGGAAUUCCUGGUGUAGCGGGGAAAUGCGCAGAUAUCAGGAGGAACACCAAUUGCGAAGGCAGCUCGCUGGGACGUAACUGACGCUGAGACGCGAAAGCGUGGGGAGCAAACAGG